rnacentral:ncRNA from 1 species
CGUGUGGUGUUCGGCGUGAGGCUGGAUGGCGACACGGCCUACUAUACAGAGGU